rnacentral:lncRNA from 1 species
CUGCUGCCAAUGUCUCAGUCCCUGGAGAGGUGGUUCCAGCCUGGGGAGGUCUCACUUCUCACCAAGAUGCACCCAGAGCCUAUCAAGUGCGUCUUUUUCACCAAAGGACUGUGCACCUUUCUUUCUGAUUCCUGAAUCAAGAUUUUCUGUCAUAGAUUGGUUGAAGGGAGGUAAGAAGGAGAGGAGAGGGGUACAAGGAGCUGAGAUGUUGCUGAAGAGGAAGAUGGAGAAAGAGGGAAGGAUGAGCGAACCACGCCCUUCUUGUCCUGGGAGAGCAUCAGAGGCCUGCUGGGGACUGAUUGUAGGGUUGUGACAACGAUGCCAGCAUUCUUUGGAGAUGGCAGCGCCUCAUAAAGCUCUUAAAGAAGUGGAUUCAUAUGUCAGGGAGAAGGAAAGGGAAGAAGUCAGCAAUCACAGAAUCAAGAGAGCAACCCUGGGCACCAAGCCUUCAAAGUGAUGAUUAUCUUUCUAUAUUAAAGAUUUCAAAGAGUUCGAAA